GCUGCUCUGUGCCCAGAAACUACAUGGAU
rnacentral:piRNA from 2 species